GCCACUGCUGAAUGUGUCCCCAAUUCCCAGUCGGGUUCCCCGUUGCUGCACAUUGCACUUCUAUACUCGAGAUGGGCGCGUGGCUAUCGCAAGCGCGUGUUGUCGGUCGCCGUCUAGAGCGUGCAGCUGCCAACAUUUCGCACUCCUGUAUACAAACACUCCUAUUCACGACCGGAUCUCUCCGGCUUUACUGAUCAUCUUUAUCUCUGUGGACGCGUCCUCAGCCUUUUGCGGAUGGACGAUCGUUGGCGUGAACCGUCUUUGCUCGCUUCAUAUAUUUGGAGUUUCUCUUGGAAUUAUUCGAAGCAAUUGUACGGCAUAGCAUACGGUGGACACUCGAAAAUGUUGACCUCGCCAAAAGGGUCACUGUCAUUAUUCUACAUCGCUCGGAGAACGUGCCUGCGACAAAUGUGCUACCGUAUCAUUCUGCAGUUGUUCCAUAUGCGGCUGCAAAGAACACGACCUCCCAAGAGACGGUCUAGGACCUACUGUGGCGCCCCUAAUUCGACACAGAGGACCUUGACAAUCCUGCGUAACGUCUCGUAAGGAAUGCAUGAGGCAGCCGGUACAGCAAUCAUCAAGGCGACUCUGAACGUCCCCCUACAUUCCAUUGCUGCUGCACACAACGCAUGUUAUUAUUACAGCGGGAUAGCCCGCCAUCACGACGCGACGUGCUAUUCAAUGCCGAACACGGUCAUAAAGUUUCUUUGCCUAUCUUUUUACAACCCCGUCAAAGACUUCCUCACCCAGAAAGAGAGAUGAAAAAUGUUGAUGUCUGGAUUCUUUCACUUACAGUCCGUACUCUAACGACACCCCUCGCGAUAACGCGUAUAUCCGUAACCGGAAGACUGGACAGUCGCCAAGCAGCACUCCUAUGUCGUUGUGUAUAGCUAACGCCUCAUAUAAGCUAGCCUGCACUACAGCAUCUGCACUCUCUAAUCGAGUCACCGAACGCCCCCCUUUGGGUUCUAUUCAGCAGCCAUGGCUUUCAUGAUCCCCAUCGUGAAGAAGGACUACGACUUGUAUGGGACGUCGAAGUCUUCUAGAAAACUGGCUUCACACUGUGGAUGCGCCGACAGCAAAUCGAGCAAAGGGAGUGUCUUUGGUUCUUCCGACUCGCGUGACAAGUUCGCGAGAUGUAGUUCAUCGUCUUCGGAACAGUCCAGGAGGAUGUCAGACUUCUCGUCAUCGACGCAUUCAUUUGGAAAGCUUCACGACGCUGAGAUGAAGAAUGGUGCUCGUGGAAACAGAUAGACUAGAGGACUGAAGAACCUUGUCUGUGAUAUUCUGUAAACUUUACCACAGGUCGAUUUUCAAAACGGCCGCAGCCCUGGUUUGCAAGCUUCUCUGGGGACCGCGUUCCGCUAUAUCGAAACAGUCCCCAAAAUAUCGUUUGUCGCCGAUUUUUGUCCCGUUGGCGGCUUGACGCACUUCUCAUUCUGGCAGAGAUUAUUUAUAGCUUUGUACAGUUUAUGCUGCGUCGUCAUUGCUGACGGACUAUAUAGUUAUGGACGUUACCACGAAGUGUAAAUAUUGUGACUGUGCAAAAGACACUAACAAGUGAAUGAUGAUACGCAAAAAUAAGGAGAUGUGCACACGGCGGAGAGUGUCUGGGCUCCCGGCAUUAAAAGUAUGUCAUUUUUCUGUACAUUUCUUACGUAAAAGUAGCGCUAAAACAUAUUACGAACUAAAGCACGACAACUGAAAUAGUUAACGCAAGAUCACUGUAUAUUGCUUUUGUGACCACAAGUUUGUCAGUUGCCUGUCUGCCGCUGUCAGUUCAUCCUGCUCUGUAAAUAAAGCAAUACAUCUGAUCCUA